GACAGUCUCAGUCGGAUUGAAGGCUGAAAUUCGCCUUCAUGAAGCCGGAAUUGCUAGUAAUGGCAGGUCAGCAUACUGCCGUGAAUACGUUCCCGGGCCUUGUACACACCGCCCGUCACACCAUGAGAGUUGGAAUACCCGAAGCCUGUGAGCUAACUUUAGAGGCAGCAGUCGAAGGUAGAAUCAAUGAUUGGGGUGAAGUCGUAACAAGGUACC
rnacentral:rRNA from 1 species